CUUCACCCCUGCCAGCGACGCGUGGGCUUUUGGGGUGACGCUGUGGGAGGUGCUGACCCGGUGCAGGGAGCAGCCCUACGGGGCGCUGAGCGAUGAGCAGGUGAUCGCCAACGCGGGCCGCCACUGCCGAGGCCAUGGGGAGGUUUUACAUUAAUUAAUUAGCACGGCCUCGUUAACGAGGUGGGAGGGGAGGGGCU
rnacentral:lncRNA from 1 species